rnacentral:lncRNA from 1 species
GGAGGGUUUAACAAAACUAGGUAUCAAAGGAGUAGAAUACCAGGUAUUUGCCCACGAUGCCGUAGAGGGAGACAUUGGGCUAAUGAAUGCCGUUCUCAAACCACCAUAGAGGGUACUCCAUUAUCAAAAAACGAACAAGGACCAGGUGUUUAUCCACAAUAUCGUGGAGAAAGGCAUCGGGCUCCAUUGCCAAAAAACGGACAGGGGGGCCCAAUGCUCCGGGGCCCA